rnacentral:tRNA from 1 species
GAGGGUAUAGCUCAAGUGGUAGAGCACAUGCUUAACAUGUAGGAGGUUUUGGGUUCAAUCCCCAGUACCUCCU